rnacentral:rRNA from 1 species
UACGUAGGUGACAAGCGUUGUCCGGAUUUACUGGGCGUAAAGAGCGCGCAGGCGGUCGAUCAAGUCGAGUGUGAAAGCCCCCGGCUCAACUGGGGAGGGUCAUUCGAUACUGAUCGACUCGAAGGCAGGAGAGGGUAGUGGAAUUCCCGGUGUAGUGGUGAAAUGCGUAGAUAUCGGGAGGAACACCAGUGGCGAAGGCGAUUACCUGGCCUGUUCUUGACGCUGAGGCGCGAAAGCUAGGGGAGCAAACAGG